AGCGGCGAACGGGUGAGGAACACGUGAGAAAUCUGCCUUCAACACUGGGAUAACUCCGGGAAACCGGGGCUAAUACCGGAUAUGAAAUCUGCGGGCAUCCGCGGAUUUGGAAAGUUUUUCGGUUGAAGAUGAUCUCGCGGCCUAUCAGCUUGUUGGUGAGGUAAUGGCUCACCAAGGCGACGACGGGUAGCCGGCCUGAGAGGGCGACCGGCCACACUGGGACUGAGACACGGCCCAUACUCCUACGGGAGGCAGCAGUGGGGAAUAUUGGGCAAUGGAGGAAACUCUGACCCAUCUACGCCGCGUGCGGGAUGAAGGCCUUCGGGUUGUAAACCCCUUUCA
rnacentral:rRNA from 1 species